GUCAUCUGGACGUAUUCUUUCACCAGGGCGUUGAGUAACCGCCGAGCUUCGUAGUCCCCCAGGGCGCCUCGGUCGGUGACGGGCUCGAAGCCCGCUCUGCGUGAAGACAAGCGCGCCCUUGAAAGCGCCGCUUUUCUGGGAGCAGCGCUUCUCCUCCCCACAGGCAGCCUGGGGUGGGAUCAGGGGCGGGAGGGAGCGGCUUUUCCAGCCGGAGCCCGCCAGCCAUCCCACCCCCUACCCUGGGGUUGGCGUGGAGCGCGACUCUCCUCUCUCCCAACCAAGGCUGGGGAUGGGGGGGGGAGUUUUAUGAAUACUGGUGCCCGCUGUAUCUGGAAGGCUUCCGAAGGGGGAGACUGUGCGAGUGAUCCGUUUUGCUUGGCCAGGGGAAGAAAAUCACAAGGCGGCCACGGAUAUGCUUGCGUAAUUUCUACUCCGCUUUCUACUUUCGGUCUCACUGCCCCGGAGGCGAGGCAAGUGGCGAUCGAGCUCCGAUGUUUUUGAAAUUUAAAAAAAAAACAAAAAACGAAGGAGGGGGCUCUAAAAACUGGUUGGUCAUCCGGGGCGAAGGGUCCCCACGGAGCCAAAUCCGCGCCUGCCGAGCGCCCAGACCUUUCUCCUUUUGCCCCCUCCUAACCGAGCUCCAUCCCGUCCAAGGAGGACUUUCUUCGCUUCGCGCGCCCCCGCCCCGGAGGGAACUUCGAGACUCUCCUCCCGAAAGCUGCAGAAAGGCUCAGUUUCAUCGAGGAGCCUCAUUGCAGCCUCUGCGGUCCUGCCUAUUCCCCUCUGACUUAUUUGGGCUGCGAUCCCAUCGACGAGCAUCCCAACUGACGCGCAUAAGGAUUCCCUUCUGAAGGAGAAAACAUAUAUGGCUGGCUGGGGAAUUCUGGGGGCUUCGGCAGCGUUCUUAUACGGACUAUCGGAACUGGGCAGAAGCAACUCGGAACAUCGGUGCCAAGAGAAGAGAACCAAAAAUAGAACCUUUCUUAAAAGAAAACGAGUCAAAGUGGCGAGAUGUAUUUACGCUUAGAAGAGAGACGCCUCGUUUUUAUGCCUCGUUUUUUGAAGUAAAAAAAUAAAAAGAACAGCUAAAACAAGUGGACCUCUGAAAACGCGAAAGGAUUAAUUACGCCAUCUAUUCCAAAAACCAGACAAGAAGUCUAGCAUCCUUGAAACAUAAAACUGAGGAAUGCAGGACAUUGGCAGCUUUUAGGCUGCGACACUCUCUACGGAUCUGGGAGUAAAUCAUCCUGGACUCAGUAAGACAUUAAAGAAAGUGUGGCCAGGAUUUCUGCUGCUAGAGUUGUAUGGUUGCUGUGAGGAGCAGAGCUACCGGUAGUAGAGAAG